rnacentral:pre_miRNA from 1 species
UUUUAACAUCUCUCAACUGAUUGCCACUUUCUCACUGUUUUAACAAAAACAGUGAGAAAGUGGCAAUCAGUUGAGAGAGUUGAGA